AGAUGUAUCAAAAAAAAAAAAUGCACACCGAACACUCCAGUGUUCAUCAACCGUUAGAUCUUUUCAUCCGAUGGUCCAAAAAAGAUGUAAUCAUCUGUUCUUGUAAUGCUUCGAUGAACACACUAGAUAUCCUCUGCCCUCCACACUAACACCGCCACCCAUCUUGCUAUCCCGCGGCCGUGACAUCCGCCCCUACCAUAACAUCGCAGCCAUGAAAUCCUCUCCCUGACGACUGCUCCUCCCAAGCAUCACCUCACCGCUUCCCUACACACCUCGCUGCACCGCAGCCAUCGCCACUCUGUCGCCUAUCUGGUGUUGCCUCCUGUGUCCUCCCAGCUGCUGUGUGCAUCCUCCCGCCGGGCAGCUCGUCCUCUUGCUGCAAACCGCUUUCUCCCGUAGUAAAUGAAUUCCUCCGCCAUCGCGUUGCUCCGCACUUCCGUCAGCUGGUUCACAGAUCAGGUCAUGCGUCUGGUGUUGUCGCCGUCGUCUUCGAUCACUUUUCUGGUGCAGGUCUCGAGCAAUAUCUCGCACCGCCGCAAUCACUGUCUUUUAUUCUUCCUCAGUUUACUUGAAUGGAUGUAGAAAGCCCUAGACCACAAAUUUCUGCAAUGACAGUUUACGUCCAAAUAGCAGUAGAACCUAUCAUGGAUAUACUACGAGGACAAGCAUCCAAGCAAGCGUAAAGAUGUUUGAUUCAGUCGGAAGAACUCAAAAGAGGUUAUCCAAACAGGAAAUUCCAAAUCCUUGCAUAAUUUCGUGUAGCAACGGAAUCACGACGGCGAUGGCUGCGGGCCGGGAUCACCGAAGGAGACGGCCAAUUGGGGGUGUGGCCUUCGGUGGAGCACAACGGCAGAAUGGAGGGCGGUUGCGUCCGCUGCGGCAACAUGGAGGGCCACGGGCCCGCGACAUGGAGGGCAACAACGGCACCAGUGGUGUGGGAGGAAGAAGGCAGUUGAAGAGGUAACUUUAUCGCGCGGAGAUUGGUCUACUAGAGGGCUACAAUGUGGAGCCUUUUGUCUUGAGUGGUAGCACCCGUUCGCGGCAUGAAUCGGGAGUAAGAUUGCUACAAAGAAAUUUUUAUGGAUGAUUUAGGCCACCAGAUCAACUCAUGCGUAUAUUAUUAUUGGUUGCUACAGAAAAAAUUAACUCCUCAUUUUUAUAUCAGUGUAGAUAAUCUCUCUUCAAAUUACACUCCGUCUCCGUGUAUUAUUAUUAUACAUGAUUCAUAUGUGCACGUAUUAUCUGUUUGGUUAAGCACAAGCGGUUUGAUCUUUUUACACAUUGAAGGGUUAUAACUCCUUAAUUUUAUA